GAUGAAGAACGUAGCGAAAUGCGAUAACUAAUGUGAAUUGCAGAAUUCCGUGAAUCAUCGAGUCUUUGAACGCACAUUGCGCCCCCUGGUAUUCCGGGGGGCAUGCCUGUCCGAGCGUCAUUACAACCCUCAAGCCCGGCUUGUGUAAUGGGCGGCCGUCUCUCCCCCCGGGGGGAGACGCCCCCGAAACUCAGUGGGGAUGUCGCGAUACCGAAGCCUCAGCUAAUGGGUAAACCACAGCUGCAACGGCCGCGGCCGGCGUCCGCCUUCCACGGUCCGUCCGCCUAGCGCGGGCGGCCUUCUCAAGGUUGACCUCGGAUCAGGUAGGGAUACCCGCUGAACUUAAGCAUAUCAAUAAGCGGAGGA
rnacentral:misc_RNA from 1 species